rnacentral:lncRNA from 1 species
GGAAGAAAUUAACUACUUGAUGAUCAGGAGCGUUUAGCCCCCAGGCCUUCUGACGCCUAAGGAUUGCUCACGUUACUUCAGCCAAUCAGAGAACUGUGCACGAGUGGAUUGCUUAUCCUGUAGCCCGCCUUCCUCACCGUGCCUUUCAAAAUACUUUGCUGAAACCUUCUGGAGAGUUGGGGGUUUGAGGGCAAGAAAGAAAGUGAAAGAAAGAAAGCGAAGUCGCUCAGUCAUGUCCAGUUGCUUAGUCGUGUCCGACUCUUUGCAACCCCGUGGACCAGGAUUCUCCAUCCAUGGGAUUUUCCAGGUGAGAAUACUGGAGUGGGUUACCAUUUCCUUCUUCAGGGGAUCUUCCAGACCCAAGGAUUGAACCUGUGUCUCCUGCAUUGGAGGCCUACGCUUUAACCUCUGAGCCACCAGGGAGCCACCCGUUUUCCUUGCAUGGCCUGCAGUAAGCCUUUCUCUGUUCCAAAUACCAACAUUUCGGUACUGUUUGGCCUCACUGUGCUGUCAGGCACAAGGAUUUGGCCUUUGGGAACAAGAGAAACAGAGGCCUGAGCCCCUUUCGAGAUUUCCCAGCUGAGCUGAUUGGCUGUGGCAUUAGUCCAUGUAACCAGGUACCCUUUCCAGGCAGAAGCAGCAGACCCAGAGUCACAGCCAAGCGCAAGCACGUACGUCUUUCACGGAGCACUGCGCUCUCUCAGAGCCGAGUCUCGCCUUGGAGGUUGAUGAUGCUCCGAAGUCACGGGGAGCUGGAGCCCAUCUCCACCGACAGCCGUCUGGCUUUUGGAUUCCAGUCACAUUCUUCACCAGCCGAAGGGAGUGCGCAAGGUUGGAUUCUUUACCACUGUGCCACCUGGGAAGCCCUGAUAAUAAUGGCCUGGUUCCAUGCUAGAGAGAUAUGUAGCCUCACUUGUCUGGCAGCUUAUCCAAGGAGACUUCCUUUUCUCUGGUUCCCUGUGGAGUGCAUAUUAAGCCAUUGGAGAGAGAAGAGUGGACAAAUGUGAGGGCACAUUGGUUUCUGAGUGUCGUCCUUGGUGUGGCUGUCGAGAUCGUGAGAUACUGCACAGCUUGUUCAUCGCAGGAAGGGUGUUUCCCAGGAUGGUUAAAGAGAAAAUUGCACUGAUGAAAGAAUAUAUUCAGUCAAAAUAAAAUAAUUCUCUGGAAGUGAAGAUUUCCCCCAUUGUCUUGCCUUGUGUGUGUGUGUAUUUUUAAACAAAUUUUCAACUCUUUCUUUUUCUUUUUUGUAACAACUGCCAGAAAAAAAACGUAAACCUUGACUUUGAUGUUUUGAACUUUUCGAGUAAGUUGAUGUAUACACAUCAUGAUUAAAGACCAAACACUGGCUAAUACCUACCUAGUAAAAACCAAUGGCAAAUUAAUUAAACAGAGUGUGUUUUAUUCUAUAUAAAAGCUAGUCAGUUAUUUCUGCUAUUAUGACUCUGGUGAAAAUAAUUAAUUUGAAAUCCAUAGAUAGGUUUAAAUUUAAUUUCUAGUAUCAUUGACAAUAAGGAC